GGCCUACGGGGCGCAGCAGUGGGGAAUAUUGGGCAAUGGGCGCAAGCCUGACCCAGCAACGCCGCGUGAAGGAAGAAGGCUUUUGGGUUGUAAACUUCUUUUGACAGGGAAGAGCAGAAGACGGUACCCAAGGAAUAAGCCACGGCUAACUACGUGCCAGCAGCCGCGGUAAUACGUAGGUGGCAAGCGUUAUCCGGAUUUAUUGGGUGUAAAGGGCGUGUAGGCGGGAUUGCAAGUCAGAUGUGAAAACCACGGGCU
rnacentral:rRNA from 1 species